GACGAACGCUGGCGGCGUGCCUAAUACAUGCAAGUCGAACGGUCCUUUCUAAGGAAGCUUGCUUCCACUGAGAAGAUAGUGGCGAACGGGUGAGUAACACGUGGGUAACCUGCCCAUAAGAGGGGGAUAACAUCCGGAAACGGGUGCUAAUACCGCAUAGUUUUCUUGAUCGCAUGAUCGAGAAAGGAAAGACGGCCUUUGUGCUGUCGCUUAUGGAUGGACCCGCGGCGUAUUAGUUAGUUGGUGAGGUAACGGCGCACCAAGACGAUGAUACGUAGCCGACAGGAGAGGGUGAUAGGCCACAUUGGGACAGAGAAACGGCCCAAACUCCUACGGGAGGCAGCAGUAGGGAAUCUUCCGCAAUGGACGAAAGUAUGACGGAGCAACGCCGCGUGAGUGAAGAAGGUUUUCGGAUCGUAAAACUCUGUUGUCAGAGAAGAACAAGUCGGAGAGUAACUGCUCCGGCCUUGACGGUAUCUGACCAGAAAGCCACGGCUAACUACGUGCCAGCAGCCGCCGCAGUAA
rnacentral:rRNA from 1 species